rnacentral:rRNA from 1 species
UACGUAGGGCGCAAGCGUUUAUCCGGAAUUAUUGGGCGUAAAGAGCUCGUAGGCGGUUUGUCGCGUCUGCCGUGAAAGUCCGGGGCUCAACUCCGGAUCUGCGGUGGGUACGGGCAGACUAGAGGUGAUGAUAGGGGAGACGUGGAAUUCCUGGAUGUAGCGGUGGAAUGCGCAGACUAUCAGGAGGAACACCGAGUGGCGAAGCAGUUCUCUGGGCCGUAACGACGCUGGAGGAGCGAAAGCGUGGGAGCGAACAGG